GUGCCCUAUCCCAAAGGCACUAUAGCAGAAUUGGAAAAGAGUUCAGAGAUGGUUGACAGGGAUAACUAAAGUACAUGCCGCAGUGUCUGAGGAACAGCUAAGUGUGAUGGGGCUCUAGC